AAAAAUAAAUAUAUAGUUCAAUUUUUAUAUAAAAUAAAUCACACAUAAAUAUAUAUAUAUAUAUAAAUAUAUAUAUAUAUAUAAUUCUGUUUAAAUAGAUAAGAUAACUAUUCUUUCUGUUAUAAAUUUUAAUUUGUCUUUAAAAAUUGUUGUUUUAUAUAUUUAAUGUAAAAUUUUACAUAAAAUUCAUUUUUAGUUCUUUUAUUUUAUUGUAUUAAUUAAAGAGAUAAAAAAUAUUUAAUAUGUGAAUAAAAUAUAAAAUUAAAUGUUUAAUAUGAUCUAUUGUCUCAAGUAAAUCCACAACGACCACAAAUUGUUUUACUAGUAUAAUUUUCAACAGUGAUAUAAUGUAAGUGAGUAAUUACCACAAAAGUAGAGUAAUUAUUAACUCAUCCGAUGUCGAGAUGUGGUUGGCGAGGAACAAAACAAAAGACUGUUCAUACGUUUAAAACGAACACCACAUUUAAAAUUUAGAUAGAUACUGCAUGAAGAUGCCAUAUGUCUUGAGACCAACAUAAUGAGCAGUGACAGUGCAAAAAUGAAUUGUUCGCUGUUAUCAGUUUACGUCCACGCCAUAUGCCAUGUAAGACCAUCGUUAUCGCAAUUUCUUUGCAGAGGUUUUAAACAAAAGUAGGCAUUUAAUUAAAUCAAAAUUAAAGAAAAUUAAAGUAACCGAUCCUCGAUACAAGGUUUUGACAACAGAUUAUAGAGAGGUUUCUUGAUACACAGCAGACUGUUAUUUAGAAACUUUUUUUUUCUUUUUUUUUUCUUUUUUUUCUUUUCCUUUCUCUCCUCUUCUCUCGUGUUCUUCGACUCGGAAGAAAAGCGACAGAGAUGCCCGCUUGAUCGCCGGCAUUCUGUUUCUCUCCGGCCGCCGAGUCUUUCACCUUUUUUUACUAAGAUUGCAAAAAGAGUAUGGUGAGUGAAUGAUCGUGAGACAAUCGAAAGUUGAGGAAUUUGGAGAGAUUGGAGAACUCCGACGGAAAGACACUUCCUUGCGUUCGCACCUACGAGAACGACUCAGCUAGGCUCAGCCUCAUCGGUACAGUAGCCUUCGAUCUGGCUUUAACCGCCGCUGCAGCCGACAAUGAUCAUCUUCGUGAAAAUGUCCCCGUCAUGGUGGUCGAGACUGUUUUCCCUGGAGGAUCCGACCCGAAGGCUACUGUCUCAACCCGAUUGUUCUUGCCUACUAAGAAAGUUAAAGAGCGAGUAACAUGACACAAGAGGAGGCAUGAAGUUGGUUGCUGUUUCUAAAAAACAUAAGUUGGUUGUUGUUUCUAAAAAAACACGAGGCAUGAAGUUGGUAGAAAGUGACUUGGGAGUGGAAGAAUCACGGACUUGUGUCUUGUGGUGAUUGUGUACUUUGUUGAUUGUAUCAUUACAGGGAAUCAAAAUCAUCCAAGCAGCAGUUGGUGCUGGCCGUACAAUACUGAUAAGUGAUAGUGGAAACGUUUACUCGUGUGGGAAAGAUUCGUUCGGUGAAGCUGAAUACAGAGGGCAAGGGUCUAAUGUUCCUGGUCUUGUUGUCUAGUUCGUAUGUCAGGAUCACUCACUCUAUCUUUAAAGAACAUCAAGAAUGGCUCGAGAAAGGUGUGUGUGUGUGUGUUGGAGUGUCUGUUGUAGUGUCACGAGAUAUGUGUGUAUGUUGUAGUUGUUGUCUUGUGGCACAUACACUUUAUAAAUCACAAGAGAAGUGUUGUUGUCGUCGUCUUGUGUCACGGGUGAUUUAUAAAUCACGAGAAGUUGUAGCUGUUCUCUUGUGUCACAGACACUUUAUAAAUCACAAACACACUUGAUUCUC